rnacentral:rRNA from 1 species
GUAGGGAAUAUUGCACAAUGGGCGCAAGCCUGAUGCAGCAACGCCGCGUGCGCGAAGAAGGCCUUCGGGUCGUAAAGCGCUUUUCUGGAGGAAGAGGAAGGACGGUACUCCAGGAAGAAGGAUCGGCUAACUACGUGCCAGCAGCCGCGGUAACACGUAGGAUCCGAGCGUUAUCCGAAUUUACUGGGCGUAAAGCGCGUGCAGGCGGCCAGGUAAGUUGGACGUGAAAUCUCCCGGCUCAACUGGGAGGGGUCGUUCAAGACUGCCUGGCUAGAGGGCGGUAGAGGGAGGUGGAAUUCCCGGUGUAGUGGUGAAAUGCGUAGAUAUCGGGAGGAACACCAGUGGCGAAAGCGGCCUCCUGGGCCGCCCCUGACGCUCAGACGCGAAAGCUAGGGGAGCGAACGGGAUUAGAUACCCCUGUAGUCC